CCUACGGGUGGCUGCAGUCGAGAAUCAUUCACAAUGGGGGAAACCCUGAUGGUGCGACGCCGCGUGGGGGAAUGAAGGUCUUCGGAUUGUAAACCCCUGUCAUGUGGGAGCAAAUUAAAAAGAUAGUACCACAAGAGGAAGAGACGGCUAACUAGGUGCCAGCAGCCGCGGUAAUACAGAGGUGUCAAGCGUUGUUCGGAAGCACUGGGCGUAAAGCGUGCGUAGGCUGUUUCGUAAGUCGUGAGUGUAAGGCGGGGGCUCAACCCGAGGACGGCUACGGAUACUGCGCGACUAGAGUAAUGGAGGGGGAAGCGGAAUUCUCGGUGUAGCAGUGAAAUGCGUAGAUAUCGAGAGGAACACUCGUGGCGAAGGCGGGUUCCUGGACAUUAACUGACGCUGAGGCACGAAGGCCAGGGGAGCGAAAGGGAUUAGAUACCCUGGUAGUC
rnacentral:rRNA from 1 species